CCUACGGGGGGCAGCAGUAGGGAAUUUUCGUCAAUGGGCGCAAGCCUGACCCAGCAACGCCGCGUGAAGGAAGAAGGCUUUCGGGUUGUAAACUUCUUUUCUUGGGGACGAAGAAAGUGACGGUACCCAAGGAAUAAGCCACGGCUAACUACGUGCCAGCAGCCGCGGUAAUACGUAGGUGGCAAGCGUUAUCCGGAUUUAUUGGGUGUAAAGGGCGUGUAGGCGGGAAUGCAAGUCAGAUGUGAAAACUAUGGGCUCAACCCAUAGCCUGCAUUUGAAACUGUAUUUCUUAAGUGCUGGAGAGG
rnacentral:rRNA from 1 species